rnacentral:rRNA from 3 species
GAAUGCUGACAUAAGUAACGAUAAAGCGGGUGAAAAGCCCGCUCGCCGGAAGACCAAGGGUUCCUGUCCAACGUUAAUCGGGGCAGGGUGAGUCGACCCCUAAGGCGAGGCCGAAAGGCGUAGUCGAUGGGAAACAGGUUAAUAUUCCUGUACUUGGUGUUACUGCGAAGGGGGGACGGAGAAGGCUAUGUUAGCCGGGCGACGGUUGUCCCG